AUCUCUGAGACAAACCUAGUCACUGUGGGUUAAGAACAAUGAUUACUCCUCUCCAGACCCCCUUCCAUUUGCCUUGUCUAUUUCAAAGUUGUUCCUUGUUGCAUUUGGAGGCAGGGAAGCUGUUUCCAAAAGCUUUAUUUUUCACUUGGUCCAAAGGCUUGGGAGAGGCUACAAAGCUUUAGAGGUUCAUUCAGCUGGAGGUCCUGAGGCAUCUGGUGCAGAGCGAAGGAGGGAGACCCUGCAGAAGCCUAGUCGUGCUUGAGAGUGAGGCACUCAAAGAGAUACUCACCCAGAGAUGCCUUGGGUCAUGCCAGUCUGUGCUGGUUAUGGCCCUGCCAGCCUACGUGGUUGGUCAGAUUGUUGCCUAUCUUCUCGAUGAGCUUCACCUUCUUAUCCAGGAAUUGGCUUUCCAAAAAGACACAGAGAUGAGCGUCUGUGAGGACAGAAUCCAGGACAUGAAGAUUCAAGAGGGCCUGGUUUAGGUUCUUCCCCAGGGCCAAGACAGCUUCCAUGGCCUCCUGGGUUUUACUUCAUUCAUCUUGAGCUGGUCUCUGCACAUCCUGGAAGAGUGCAUGGCCCCCACAAUCAUUCUGUAGCUUGAGGAGACACUCGGUGCCCUCGCAUUUCUCCUUGGCCAAUUUGUGGAAGAAGAGGCCAGCGCCCUCCAAAGCCACAUUGUCCUGAUCAAAAAGGAAGCCCAGAGAGAGUGAUUUGGCUGGCUGUUUGAAGCGUGUAUCGUGGUUUCUGUUGGAAAGCGAGUUAUCCUCAGAAAGUCCACAUGGAGCCGGGAGAUAAAACACAAAACAGCCCAGGGCUACAAGUCCCCGGUGAGUGCACAGGUCUAAGGAGCGGCCUCCAGCUGCUCUGCGAACUUCCCUAACAGAUUUCAGCCACCCAGAGAGCACCAAGGUGAGGACGAUGGGAGAAGACCACGUGGCAAGAAGACUCAAGGGGCCUCCACCUGACAACCCAUUGGCAGCUGUCACUAGGCACGAGACCCCUCCCCAGUCGAACUUCGGAUGGGACUUUAAUUCUACCCAAAACUGGAUUUAAGGCCUGCCAGGAGGUGCUGACUCGUGUUGUUUCAAGGCCCUAAAUGGGUGGUCAUUUGUUAUGUGGCAAAACAUCUUUAAUACAGCGGAGUAUCGAGUACCUAAGAUGCCUGACGUCCUGUAAGCACGAGGAUUAGCUCCGUGUGCUUCCAGCCCUAUGCUACUCACACAAAUCUGAGCAAGUGUAGCUACUGUUACAUGCUGGAUUGCAGGUCAUUGUCUUUCUAACUCCAGGCUACUCGUCCAACUUUAAAUCCUUAUUUUAUUAGAGCUCA
rnacentral:sRNA from 1 species